rnacentral:rRNA from 1 species
GACGAACGCUGGCGGCGUGCUUAACACAUGCAAGUCGAGCGGUAAGGCCCUUUCGGGGGUACGACGAGCGGCGAACGGGUGAGUAACACGUGGGUGACCUGCCCUCAGCUCUGGGAUAAGCCUGGGAAACUGGGUCUAAUACCGGAUAUGACUCCAUGACGCAUGUUGUGGGGUGGAAAGCCUUGUGCGGCUGAGGAUGGGCCCGCGGCCUAUCAGCUUGUUGGUGGGGUGAGGCCUACCAAGGCGACGACGGGUAGCCGGCCUGAGAGGGCGACCGGCCACACUGGGACUGAGACACGGCCCGGACUCCUACGGGAGGCAGCAGUGGGGAAUCUUGCGCAAUGGGCGAAAGCCUGACGCAGCGACGCCGCGUGAGGGAUGACGGCCU